CCUACGGGUGGCAGCAGUGAGGAAUAUUGGUCAAUGGACGAGAGUCUGAACCAGCCAAGUAGCGUGAAGGAUGACUGCUCUAUGGGUUGUAAACUUCUUUUAUAUGGGAAUAAAAUGUUCCACGUGUGGGAUUUUGUAUGUACCAUAUGAAUAAGGAUCGGCUAACUCCGUGCCAGCAGCCGCGGUAAUACGGAGGAUCCGAGCGUUAUCCGGAUUUAUUGGGUUUAAAGGGAGCGUAGGGGGAUUGUUAAGUCAGUUGUGAAAGUUUGCGGCUCAACCGUAAAAUUGCAGUUGAAACUGGCAGUCUUGAGUACAGUAGAGGUGGGCGGAAUUCGUGGUGUAGCGGUGAAAUGCUUAGAUAUCACGAAGAACUCCGAUUGCGAAGGCAGUUCACUGGACUGCAACUGACACUGAGGCUCGAAAGUGCGGGUAUCAAACAGGAUUAGAUACCCCUGUAGUC
rnacentral:rRNA from 1 species